rnacentral:misc_RNA from 1 species
GAUGAAGAACGCAGCGAAAUGCGAUAAGUAAUGCGAAUUGCAGAAUCCGUGAGUCAUCGAAUCUUUGAACGCACAUUGCGCCCCUUGGUUAUUCCGAAGGGCAUGCCUGUUCGAGCGUCAUUAUCACCCCUCAAGCCCCGGCUUGGUGUUGGGCGUCUUGUCUCUAGCUUUGCUGGAGACUCGCCUUAAAGUAAUUGGCAGCCGGCCUACUGGUUUCGGAGCGCAGCACAAGUCGCACUCUCUAUCAGCAAAGGUCUAGCAUCCAUUAAGCCUUUUUUUCAACUUUUGACCUCGGAUCAGGUAGGGAUACCCGCUGAACUUAAGCAUAUCAAUAAGCGGAGGA